rnacentral:miRNA from 1 species
GUUUCAUAUGUGUGUACAAUUUGUAUGUGUGUUCAUGUAUAUGUGUAUGCACACACACACACACACACACAUAU